rnacentral:rRNA from 1 species
UACGAAGGGGGCUAGCGUUGCUCGGAAUCACUGGGCGUAAAGCGCACGUAGGCGGAUGUGUCAGUCAGGGGUGAAAUCCCGGAGCUCAACUUCGGAACUGCCUUUGAUACAGCACGUCUUGAGUCCGGAAGAGGUGGGUGGAAUUCCUAGUGUAGAGGUGAAAUUCGUAGAUAUUAGGAAGAACACCGGUGCGAAGGCGGCCCACUGGUCCGGUCACUGACGCUGAGGUGCGAAAGCGUGGGGAGCAAACAGG